AAACAAAGGAAGAACAGCGGAAAAGAAUUGCAAAAUCGGCUGAAGGGAAAAUGGAACGGGCCAAUGCGCCAUCGAUCCAACCAACUUGUAUGGUUUUUUUCUUUUCUUUUCUUUCCCUUCUCUUUUCACAACUGU
rnacentral:ribozyme from 1 species